UGGGGAAUAUUGCACAAUGGGCGCAAGCCUGAUGCAGCCAUGCCGCGUGUAUGAAGAAGGCCUUCGGGUUGUAAAGUACUUUCAGCGGGGAGGAAGGGAGUAAAGUUAAUACCUUUGCUCAUUGACGUUACCCGCAGAAGAAGCACCGGCUAACUCCGUGCCAGCAGCCGCGGUAAUACGGAGGGUGCAAGCGUUAAUCGGAAUUACUGGGCGUAAAGCGCACGCAGGCGGUCUGUCCAGUCGGAUGUGAAAUCCCCGGGCUCAACCUGGGAACUGCAUUCGAAACUGGCAGGCUAGAGUCUUGUAGAGGGGGGUAGAAUUCGAGGUGUAGCGGUGAAAUGCGUAGAGAUCUGGAGGAAUACCGGUGGCGAAGGCGGCCCCCUGGACGAAGACUGACGCUCAGGUGCGAAAGCGUGGGGAGCAAACAGG
rnacentral:rRNA from 1 species